AUUCCAGCUCCAAUAGCGUAUAUUAAAGUUGUUGCAGUUAAAAAGCUCGUAGUUGAAUUUCUGUACAGUCCCGGUUCUGGCUUCGGUCAAGCCGUGGAUUGUGCAACCGCUUGCAAAUCUAGCUCGGCCUUCACUGGUCGACUAGGGGAGUAAGCCCUUUACUUUGAAAAAAUUAGAGUGUUUCAGGCAGGCAAUGGCUCGAAUACAUUAGCAUGGAAUAAUGGAAUAGGACUUUUGUCCAUUUGGUUGGUUAUUGGACAUGAGUAAUGAUUAAAAGGGACAGUUGGGGGCAUUAGUAUUUAAUAGUCAGAGGUGAAAUUCUUGGAUUUAUUAAAGACUAACUUAUGCGAAAGCAUUUGCCAAGGAUGUUUUCAUCA
rnacentral:rRNA from 1 species